GACAGAGGCCUCAAGCGUUAGGCGGAAUCACUGGGCUUAAAGCGUGUGUAGGCGGCUCGUUAAGUGUCUUGUGAAAUCCCACGGCUUAACCGUGGAACUGCUGGGUAUACUGGCGAUCUUGAGGUGCUCAGGGGCGAGCGGAACAGAUGGUGGAGCGGUGAAAUGCGUAGAUAUCAUCUGGAACGCCUGCGGUGAAAACGGCUCGCUGGGAGCAAUCUGACGCUGAGACACGAAAGCCAGGGGAGCGAACGGG
rnacentral:rRNA from 1 species